ACGUUUCGCACCUCUGCAGCUGGUUUCUGUCUUUAGUCUCUUGCAUCACUCGCUUCACACAAACACAAUGCUGAACUCUGCCUUCUUUGGAUUUAUUGGGAUCAUCGUUCUCUCCCCGCAGCCGUCGUCUGCCGUUAAGGCGCUGGAGGUCCGUCUUGGAACGGCAGUGACGCUGCAGUGUGAUUUGUCAUAUCAUUAUGAGAUUAACUGGCUGAGGAUGAGCUCAGACAUGAACCCUGAACUGCUGAUGGUUCUGGGACUGAAGAAUGAUGGAGAUUUAUCCGUCUACUGGAGUUCCAACAGCUCCAGUUUCCAGGGUUUCAUCGAAAAUCGGUUUAUUCAGCUGAGAAUCGUACGCGUAUCUGAAGCAGACCUCGUAACAUACUUCUGCGUGGCGAUGAAUGAAAAGCGGAUCGAGUUUGGUGAAGGAAUGCGGCUGUACGCCGUCUCGAAUGUGCAACAGCCUCAGAAUCCAGAUCAGACCCUGACACGAUGCCGAGACUCAGACACCGGAUCUCAAGACCCUGAAGGACUUUUUCAUACCCACAUGAUGAUCUCAGGAGUGUUGAGCUGCGGUGUUCUCCUCAUGAUCUUCACCAUCAUCACUGUCCACCUCAUGACCAGUGAAAGAAAGCUGUGCUAGAGUGCGUACUGCUUGUUGUUGUUUGUUGUUGUUUACUGAUCUGUCUCCUGUAUCUCAGUUGGAUCGACUUCUUCUCUUACGCAGUUGUUUUAAAAAAUAAAACAGAAAAACUAUUAUUUCUAAUAGUAAUAAAUGUAGACUAAUGAUUAGAUUAAACUAUCAGUGUUCAGUUUCAUUUCAGUGAUCAAAUGAACAGAAACAUUUGAGGCUGAAAUUAACUUUAUUCCUACGUGCAGAAGACGAACUGUCAGGAGAGGCUGAAACUGCUCAAUGUUAAUGUUACACAAUACAGAACUCAACACGGGCAUCACAAAAUAACACAAAAUAACACAAAAUAACACAAUCAAAGAAUAAAACAUGAUAAACAUAAAACUAAAUAAAACAUGAUAAAACAAUAAAAAGCCACAAUAAGACAAGAUAAAAUACUAUAAAACACAAUAAAUGCAAUCACUUGUAUUUUGUCUCACAUUUUAAAUGAAGUAACUCAUUCAUUCAUUAAUUUUCUACCGCUUAUCUGAACUUCUCGGGUCACGGGGAGCCUUCUCUUCUCUUUAGCAGUGCUGUGUUCAGUUAGAUAGUGUUACUGAAUGACAAGGGUGGGGUGUUUGUGUGUGUGUGUGUGUGUGUGUGUGUGUGUGUGUGUGUGUGUGUGUGUGUGUGUGUGUGUGUGUGUGUGUGUG